AUUUACAUUCUGAUUUACUUCUAGAAAUAUUCCCAUCUUCAGUUGGCACACCAAGAGCACCCAAGGCCAUUCUUCAGGAGCUUGCUGUGGUGGGGCGGGGCUCUCCUGAUGGCCCUCGGAGAGACAGGGAACUUCGCGGCCUACGGAUUUGCCCCCAUCACUCUCAUCGCUCCGUUAGGCUGUAUGUCUGUUACAGGUAGUGCCUUUAUUUCUGCUAUGUUUCUGAAAGAAAAUUUGCGAGCCUCCGAUGUACUAGGUAUGACAUUGGCAUUUGCAGGAUCGUAUUUGUUGGUGAACUUUGCUCCAAACAUAUCCCAGGCUAUCUCUGCGAGAACAGUACAGUAUUACUUUGUUGGCUGGCAGUUCCUGAUCUAUGUGAUUUUAGAAAUAUUAAUUUUCUGCAUUCUCCUAUAUUUCUAUAAAAGAAAAGGAAUGAAGCACAUUGUGAUUCUACUAACCCUGGUGGCACUUCUAGCCUCAUUGACUGUUAUUUCAGUGAAAGCUGUCUCAGGCAUGAUCACUUUUUCUGUGACGGAUAAAAUGCAGCUAACGUAUCCCAUCUUCUAUAUAAUGUUGAUCAUCAUGAUAGCAUCUUGUGUUUUCCAAGUCAAGUUCCUGAAUCAAGCCACGAAUCUCUACAGUACAGCGACGGUGGUGCCCAUUAACCAUAUUUUCUUUACAACCAGUGCCAUUAUUGCAGGCAUCGUAUUUUAUAAGGAAUUCCUUGGUGCAGCUUUUCUCGCCAUGUUUAUAUAUUUUUUUGGGUGUUUUCUGUCAUUCCUGGGUGUGUUGAUGGUCACAAGAAACCGAGAGAAGGAACAUCUGCCACAGUCUUACAUCGAUUUGGGGAAUAUUCCCGGGAAACAGACGUUGGAUAAAAUACAACCAGAUUCAAACGGUUUAUCCCGUGGAACUUUGCCUGAUGGAAGUGACUCAACAAAGAGCCAAAGUGGAGAGAAGAAAGAGGUCUGAAGUGCCGAGAGCGAUGGCUGUGGGCCUGUUACUCGAUCCCACCUUCUUAAAAAGCUGCACAUGUUCCAUUUGUGUCAGCAGCUAUUUAUCGCUGACAUGUGCUCGCGUGCGUUCCAGUUCUCUGCCCACCUCCAUCCCGUGGACACUCGGCCCCCCUGCGCUCUGACAGUCUAAUGUUCGCAUGGAAUGUAACUUGAAGUGCCCCCCACCCCCGGGGCUCUCCCUAGCGAGCCUCUGACCGCCUGGACCUUGAUGAGAGCCUGGCUGCCCGAGCAGAACUGCCACGCAGAAACGGGCCCGCGAUCUGGCCGCUGCUCCCAGCAUCCGGGAGUGCCGGCUGCUUUGCUUUAAAGAGACACUUUCCCCCGCAGCCUGACUCCUGGAACACAGGCCACAGUUCUUUUGUGUGUGUACCACCACCUCUAUUGGAAAAGUCUCCCCAACCUCACUCUCCAACUUGAUAACAGCGUCAGAAAUGACUGGUAGUUACCUGUCCUGUGGCAGAGUGAAGCAGAAGUCUUUACCACCUGGUUGUUUUCAGUCUAAAUGUCUGCCCUGUACUGCUUUCGCUACCUUGAAUCACUUGAAAAAAAAAACACACAAUAAAAAACUUCUCAGGCAAUGA